rnacentral:rRNA from 1 species
GCGGAUACGAGAGAUCGUAUCCUUCAGUUCGGCUGGAUCGGAGACAGGUGCUGCAUGGCUGUCGUCAGCUCGUGUCGUGAGAUGUUGGGUUAAGUCCCGCAACGAGCGCAACCCUCGCCCUUAGUUGCCAGCAUUCAGUUGGGCACUCUAAGGGGACUGCCGGUGAUAAGCCGAGAGGAAGGUGGGGAUGACGUCAAGUCCUCAUGGCCCUUACGGGCUGGGCUACACACGUGCUACAAUGGUGGUGACAGUGGGCAGCGAGACCGCGAGGUCGAGCUAAUCUCCAAAAGCCAUCUCAGUUCGGAUUGCACUCUGCAACUCGAGUGCAUGAAGUUGGAAUCGCUAGUAAUCGCAGAUCAGCAUGC